AUGGAAUCCUAGAACAGAGAAAGAACAUUAAGUAAAAACCAAGGAAACCAGAGUAAAAUAUUAACAUCUGGAAGCUGAAGCUCGUAGAAGGGAAAUAAUGAAAAUAUUUAACACUGAGUUGAGUGUUUAUACUAUGCCAAGCACUGAUCUUGGUUGUUAGUUAUGUGAACUCAUUCAGUACUCACAGCAACACUAGAAGGAAGGUAAAGAUAUUACCCAGUGAGGACAUGGAGCAAUGAGAGGUCUCAUAGCCUAGUCAAGAUCUCACAAGAACAGGAGAAGCAGUAGAAAAGUGGGGAUGCAAACCCAGCAAGACCAGAGACAGAGCACAUGGGCUUGUCCUCUGUGAUCAUCUGCCUCCCUGUAUAUGUGGCAGAAGCAGAACUGAAAAGCCGUUCUGUAGAUCCCAGGACUUCCCUACCAUCCUGUUAGUCCGUAUUAUUCCUGCUAUAAGUGAUGAUGUUGAAGGGGUGGGAGUAAUUGAGUUUUAAUAAAAGUAG
rnacentral:lncRNA from 1 species